AGUGAACGCUGGCGGUAGGCCUAACACAUGCAAGUCGAACGGCAGCACAGGAGAGCUUGCUCUCUGGGUGGCGAGUGGCGGACGGGUGAGGAAUACAUCGGAAUCUACCUUUUCGUGGGGGAUAACGUAGGGAAACUUACGCUAAUACCGCAUACGACCUACGGGUGAAAGUGGGGGACCGCAAGGCCUCACGCGAUUAGAUGAGCCGAUGUCCGAUUAGCUAGUUGGCGGGGUAAUGGCCCACCAAGGCGACGAUCGGUAGCUGGUCUGAGAGGAUGAUCGGCCACACUGGAACUGAGACACGGUCCAGACUCCUACGGGAGGCAGCAGUGGGGAAUAUUGGACAAUGGGCGCAAGCCUGAUCCAGCCAUACCGCGUGGGUGAAGAAGGCCUUCGGGUUGUAAAGCCCUUUUGUUGGGAAAGAAAUCCUGUCGAUUAAUACUCGGUGGGGAUGACGGUACCCAAAGAAUAAGCACCGGCUAACUUCGUG
rnacentral:rRNA from 1 species